GGCUUCAUUUUUCCCUAUAGUCAAUGGACUUUAUUUACAUGGCGGAGAACAUUGUCACUUGCAAGUUUUAUCAGAACAAUCCCAAAGGAAGACCUAGACAAAGCUGGCUUGGUUGUAUGAUCAUUUCUGGGUCACGUGGCCUAUCUUGGUCACAUGCAUUUCCCAUGGGUAGGAGUGUAUGAAACAUGGUUAAUUACCAGUAUCGCAUGGAUCCUCCCUAACCUGGAGAUUCUGAAUGACUUCUCUUCUCCUGUACUCUGGCCUUACUCCUUCUUCAAGAUCCGAUUCAAUAAUUAAAUUUCGGAAGCUUUUCUGGACAAGCCUCAUCACCCUGCAUCUUCACCAGGCAGAAAUGACUCCUCUUUCCUUUAUGCCCUGACGUACUGUGUAUGGGCCUUGCAGGAAGCUUGGUGUGAUAGAAAAACACAAGAUUUGAGUAUCUGACUUCUGCCAUUUGAGUGUGUGACAUCUGCUAGUUUUGUGCCCUGGGAAAACUUACUUAACUCACACUUUCUGAGUCUAUUUUUAAUCUGUUAAGUUGGAAUAACAGUAUCUUUAUGCAGUGAAAAUUCAAGGUACUUGAAAUUAAGUACUUCAAAUUACAAUUGUAAAUGUGAAGCAUCUAGUACAGUGUCUAACAUAUAAUAAUGUGCUCAAAAAUGGGAGCUAUUACGAUACAGCCAGAAUUACAAGAAUCUGUUUAACAUGUCUGUCUUUGCUAAACCAUGAGUCCUUGGAGGACGGGGAUCUGUAGUCAUCUUUGUGUCUCUGCACCUAGUCCAGUGUGUGGCACAUGAAGGCAUUCAGUAAACAGCUGUGGAAUGAAUAAAUGUCUCUGCAAUACCUAAGGCCGUUCUAUAUGUGACAGGUGCUUCACACAUGUGUGCAGUGAACACGUCUCUGCACACGUCUCUGAAUGCAGAACCAGCAUUUCUGAGGCCUGCAUAGUCACUGGAUGACCCAUCUGUGAGGGUUAUCAGAGAGAUCUGCUGUCUGUACUGGGGUUAGAAAAAACUACCCAUGUUUCAAUGUAUAGUCUAGAGUGGCCAAACUUUAGUAUUAUGAGGAAAUGAACUCUUUCGCAGAAUGUAAACAUUUACAUUACGCUUUUGCUCCUGGCACUUUUUAUUGUCAGCCCUUUUAAUCAUUCAUUCCUCCCUUUUAAAACAAAGCACACUGAGAUACCUGGUUUUUGAUAAAUUAGGACCAUGGGACAUUAUGGUCCUUUACUAACUGAAACUGGCCCAGGUUCCUUUUCAAGCUCAUCUUUAGUUAUACUCUCAGGUAUCUUAUGGCCACACAGGUUAUGGUAGUGGGAGUUUUAAAACCCAGAUAAUUUUAUUCCAUUCUUAACCCCGAAGCAGGUAUCUAAUAAACAUUUGCUGAAAAACUGAAUCAUACUGAUGGAGUGCCACACAGUGCUGUCACACAGUGAUGUGCCCAGAGGCCACUGAGUGAGGGGCCCUCUCUCUCUAUACUAAGUGGCUCUACUCAUGCCCUUCUUCAUGGCCUUUCUCCCUUUAAUCUGUUGUUAGCAUUGCUACCACUUCUCACUGCUGUUAUCCCAGUAGCUGUCUCUAGCAGAUCGCCCCUUACUUGCUGCCGGUCAGGACACCAGACCAUCAAGAUGGCUGGAAUACUACACAAAUCAUAACAAAGAUUAACCGCCAGGCUGUUGGCAGUGAUCUCCCCUACAGAGUGGAGUAUAAAAGGCUUAAUAACGGCUCAGGAUGGUUAUUUUUGUUCUGCGGGCCAGUGUUUGUCUAACUUCUGUGUUCUAGAAAGUUGAGAUUGAUGGUCUCAAAUCCAUACGAGUGACAUUACUUAAAAAAUUAACAGACUCAUUCUGCUCUGGGAUGUGAUGAGUUUACCACAUCUAUAGUCUACUGAAUAGAUUAUUCUAUUAAAAUUGUGGCUUUGAACAA